GACAAUUUCUCAGGAGUUCCUGUUGGAUAAAACGGAGAAAGAUGGCCUAUAAGUAAAGAUAAUUAUGUGGAUUGAUAAUAGGCUUAAACAAUUGUAUCCAAAGUAAGAAAUGGAAUAUUUCCUGUUAUAUCAGUAAACAAGGAUGUCACAGUCAUCAGCAAUUGCAGCCACUAUGGAUAGUGAGCCAGUGAGCCCGAGGAAAUUCACCUAGGGAAAGAAUACCUGUCAUCUAGCCAUCAGACUGCACCCCUCCCCACAGUGAGCCCUGAAGAAACUCAGCAGGGACUGUAGACCACAAGUUUCCUCAGUCCAUGAAUUUCCCGGAUAAGAAAGCAAUACUGGCAUGGGUUGCCACUUCCUUCUCCAGGGGAUCUUCCCAACCCAGGGACUAAACCCGAGUCUCCUGCAUUGGCAGGGGAUCUUCCCGACCCAGUGAUCCAACCCGAGUCUCCUGCAUUACAGUUGGAUUCUUUACCACUGAGCCACCACGGAAGGAAGAACGUUGUCAUUGCACAGAUGAAGGACUUGGAGGCUCUGAGAUUAAGUGUACUUAUAAGGUCACAACUUAGUGACUGAACAACAGCAACAAGAGGUCACAAAGCUAGUGGAACACAGGGCCAGGAGAAG
ensembl:lncRNA